AGAGUUUGAUCAUGGCUCAGAAUGAACGUUGGCGGCGUGGAUUAGGCAUGCAAGUCGAACGCUCUUAUGUAGCAAUACAUGAGAGAGUGGCGUAAGGGAGAGUAAUCCAUGGUUAGCUGCCCCCGGGUCUGGGAUAGCGGCGGGAAACUGCCGGUAAUACCAGAUGACAUCUUCGGAUCAAAGGUGUAAUUCCGCCCGGGGAGGCGACCGUGUCCUAUCAGCUAGUUGGCGGUGUAACGGACCACCAAGGCUAAGACGGGUAUGGGGCGUGAGAGCGUGCCCCCACUCACUGGGACUGAGACACUGCCCAGACACCUACGGGUGGCUGCAGUCGAGAAUCUUCGGCAAUGGGCGCAAGCCUGACCGAGCGACGCCGCGUGCGGGAUGAAGGCCUUCGGGUUGUAAACCGCUGUCGUAGGGGAGGAAGCAACCGUGUAGAACGGAAGUGACCGAUCCUAGAGAAG
rnacentral:rRNA from 1 species